AGUGAACGCUGGCGGUAGGCCUAACACAUGCAAGUCGAACGGCAGCACAGUAAGAGCUUGCUCUUACGGGUGGCGAGUGGCGGACGGGUGAGGAAUACAUCGGAAUCUACUUUUUCGUGGGGGAUAACGUAGGGAAACUUACGCUAAUACCGCAUACGACCUACGGGUGAAAGCAGGGGAUCUUCGGACCUUGCGCGAUUGAAUGAGCCGAUGUCGGAUUAGCUAGUUGGCGGGGUAAAGGCCCACCAAGGCGACGAUCCGUAGCUGGUCUGAGAGGAUGAUCAGCCACACUGGAACUGAGACACGGUACAGACUCCUACGGGAGGCAGCAGUGGGGAAUAUUGGACAAUGGGCGCAAGCCUGAUCCAGCCAUACCGCGUGAGUGAAGAAGGCCUUCGGGUUGUAAAGCCCUUUUGUUGGGAAAGAAAAGCAGCAGGUUAAUACCCCGCUGUUCUGACGGUACCAAAAGAAUAAGCACCGGCUAACUUCGUG
rnacentral:rRNA from 1 species